rnacentral:lncRNA from 10 species
CCUGGCUAGCGUCUAGUGUCUCGGGCUAGAAAUAGGAACCGUUACCGUCGUACCUCGAGUAGAUUUCAGCCUUUCCUCCUAGAUGCUGUUUUCAUCAUUAUCCCCAUUCUACAGAUAAGAACACAGAGGCACAGAAAGUUUAACUUUUGGAGUUGGCAGGUGGGGAGGCAGAAUUUGAACCUCAACGUUGGACUUGAAAGCCCACACUCGGCCGGGCGCGGUGGCUUAAACCUGUAUUGUCGGCACUUUGGGAGGCCGAGGCGGGCGGAUCACCAGGUCAGGAGAUCGAGACCAGCCUGGCCAACACGGUGAAACCCCAUCUUUACUAAAAAUACAAAAAAUAGCCGGGCAUGGUGGCGCGCGCCUGUAAUCCCAGUUAGGAGGCUGAGGCAGGAGGAUCGCUUGAACCCCGGAGGCGGAGGUUGCAGUGAGCCGAGAUGGCGCCAUUGCACUCCAGCCUGGGCGACAGAGCGAGACUCCGUCUCAAAAAAAAAAAAAAGAAAAGAAAAGAAAAAAAAGAAAAA